GAUAAGGAGAUUGCUCACUCCACGUAAAGCCCAGCAGUCGACAUUUUCCCUCCUCCCCCUCUCUAGCAGACGAAUUCGACUGCGCUGCUCCUUUCGGCCAGCUCCGGAAGCAUUUGACGGCUGAGGACCACUGGAGGACUGGUUUUACGUUUUGAAACGCAAAGAUAUUCGUAUUUCUUAUUUAUUUAGUUCCGUUCAGUGCACUUUAGUGAUUGAAUUGAUGAAUUGAAAAGAAACAAAGAUGAAAAUUAUGUUUCUACUGAUUCAUAAACAAGUAAAAGAAAGGAAUCUGAAUUUAAGAUAUCUGAGUACAAUUAGUUUGAUUAAUUCAUGAACACUUUCAACAGAAAACUUGUUAACAAUGGUAGGAAACACUUCAGAGUAGUUAACAACUUUGAGGAUCUUGUGCGCUAAUGUUUCUAACACAUUAUGUUGAUUGGAGAGUGCAGAUAACUUUUCUACAACAACGGAAUGAAAAAAUGUUUCAGCUGUGUGAAUCAAGGUCUGGACUUAGAGGAUCAUCACACGAGUUAAACAAGGAAUUUCUUCUGGUUGGACAUUUAACAAGUUUCUCAGUUUUCAGUACAAUGUAGCCAGCAAUGUAUGCUAGGCAUUGGUUGGUGAAGUGAUCUUUCAACUGA